CAGUCGCCACGGUAAUACAGAGGGUGCAAGCGUUAAUCGGAAUUACUGGGCGUAAAGCGCGCGUAGGUGGUUUGUUAAGUUGGAUGUGAAAUCCCCGGGCUCAACCUGGGAACUGCAUUCAAAACUGACUGACUAGAGUAUGGUAGAGGGUGGUGGAAUUUCCUGUGUAGCGGUGAAAUGCGUAGAUAUAGGAAGGAACACCAGUGGCGAAGGCGACCACCUGGACUAAUACUGACACUGAGGUGCGAAAGCGUGGGGAGCAAACAGGAUUAGAUACCCCUGUAGUCCCUGUCUCUUAUAC
rnacentral:rRNA from 1 species